rnacentral:lncRNA from 10 species
GGUUGGUGAACUUACUUUAAGAAAAUGCUACAAAAAUAUGACAAUGCAGAGGGUAUGUAUGAACCUCACAGGGAAAGGGAACCUCACUCUGUGAAAUGCCCCAAAGUAUUUCAGUGUUGAUGGACAGAUCAAUAAAUAAGCGUGAGCUCUAGAUUAGGGAAACUUACAGCCUUUGGGGGCCCAGCAGACAGGAAAACUGAGCCCUGGAGGGUGAGUCCAGGGAAGGAAGGAUGCCCCAGCAUACUCCCUUUCCACGUGCCCCACUUUCUGGGGACACGUGCAUUGCAGAAAUCAACAUGAUGGCUGGAGGACUUACCUGCUGGUCAGGCCUGCGGACCACCUGUUAAUCGUGUCCCGGCUCAGUGCAGCGAUGACUGUGUUCAUCUUCCCCUUGUCCGGAAGGAUGAAGAAGACAGUCCCAUUGCCCACGUAGUUCAUCUGCACCAGCUGGCAGGGGAGCUCCGAGUCAUGAAGGCCACGUUGUCCUAAUGAAGAGUCAGGGUGAGAAGACUCCUUCAGGGUCACAGACUCCCACCCCCAGCAGGCCCUCAAGUCCCAUCUACCAUGUUCCAGGGUGCCACCAUCCAGCUUGUUUUUUUGCCUUGAGAUGGAGAGCUCACUACCUUCACAGAUGGGACUUGGCGGUACUCGUCAGCUCUGAUGGGAAGAAAAUUGCUCCUCAGACUGAGCCAAAGCCUGCCUGAUUGUCCGCCACCAGCAGGACCUCUUCUGUUCUUCUGAACUUAUUCCAGACAACUGAGUCCACCUGCAGGAAACUUACCUGGGCUGAGUGUCACAGGGUCUCUCUGCUCUAGGUGACGUCUCCCCAGUCUUAAAGUGAUGACUGAGGCCCUUGAGUCCAGCAGAUCCCAGGUGUCCUGGCUGCCAUUGACCACAAGCCCUGAAGCCCUUGCCAGGCCACCAUUUCCCAGCCCAGGCUCCCUAAAGGUGGCCAGAACAUCACUCCAGGUAGCCCUUUCUCCAUCCUACUGUCUGUGGGAUCUAUGGAUUGCUCAGCCAAAAUUCUUGGUUCUAAGCCAGCCACAAACCUUUUGUAAUAGCUACUUAUGGAGACAACAGGGAGAGGCUGAUGGAUGUAGAGAAAUCAGCCAUGGCUGCGGAGUCUAGAGACACCAGAGCUAUGCUGGUCCCUUCUUAAUGACCUCACUAACCUUGAUGUCUGCAGACACUGGCCAAUGGUAGUAAACUCACCGUCCGUCUGUCUCACGGCAAAUGAGAUUAUUUGAGGGUUCUCAAAUCAUCCUCCAAAGGAGGUCUAAAAUCCUCAGAACCAGAGGGCAGUUGUAUUUUGUGGCUAACUUACAGCAAAAAAACAAAGUGGGUAAAAUAUUUUUCAUUGUUAGGUUUUUUUCGUCCUUAACAUUUUGCUGCUUGCUUUUUAUGGAGUAUUUCUUUUCUAGGAGUAAGCAUAAUGUAUAUAGUUUGACACAAAACAAAAUACAAAAUGGGGUUCAGCCUCUACUUUAAGGGAUCUAUUCUCAAAAAGUUCUAGGAGAAUUGGUGGUAGAGAAAGAAUUUAUUGGGGACGAUCUGAGAGAGCAAGGAUGGCUCCUCUGGAAAAUCUUUUAACAAUAUUUUUAAUGUUAUUAAAAAAAAACUGUCAAGAAAGUCCGAUAAAUAACACAUCAGGUGCUGGGUGCGGUGGCUCACACCUGUAAUCCCAGCACUUUGGGAGGCCGAGGCGGGUGGAUCAUGAGGUCAGGAGAUCGAGACCGUCCUGGCUAACGUGGUGAAACCCUGUCUGUACUAAAAAUACAAAAAAAUAAAAAAAUUAGCCGGGUGUCAUGGCAGGUGCCUGUAGUCCCAGCUACUCAGGAGGCUGAGGCAGGAGAAUGGCAUGAACCCGGGAGGCGGAGCUUGCAGUGAGCCAAGAUUCUGCCACUGCACUCCAGCCUGGGCAACUGAGCAAGACUCCGUCUCAAAAAAAAUAAAAAUAAAUAAAUAAAUAAAUAACACAUCAGGGCCAUUUUACAUAUUCUACAUUUAGUGAUAAUACCUACACUAAUCUUGAUUUCUGUUUAUUAUCCUGGCUUGCUAGAAAUAUUUCAGAGUAUUUUGCCAAAAGUUUUAACCAAACACUCACGGAUUCGUUUUGUUGUAUUAUAGAAAAUCUGUGUACAAUGAGGCAUUUCAUCUCCAUCAAUGUCUGGUCCUGCAUUCAGGUGUUCCAAGUUUCUCUGAUUUUGUAACCUAAAGCUGUGAUCUCCUAUCCACUUAGCCCCACUGUGGUCCUGAGGACACUGUGAAACCUCGUACAGAAUGACACCAGGCCAGCACCCGUUCCACCAACACCCAUUCCACCACAUGUGCUCAGGCAUCUCUCAGGCUCAGGAGGGCCCUCCCUGCACCUGGGUUUACUGUGCCUUUUCCCCAGGUUGUGUUGCCUGAACCUCUGUGCAACCACUGCUGAGCUUGUUCCAUGCACCAAGCAUUAAACAAGGGCACUGGAAUCUCCCAAAGAGACAAAGAUACCCUGCACAAGAGUGCACAGUCUCGUGGGGGAGAUGGUCUAUGGAAUUUGUGGGAGCACACAGAAGAGUUUCUGGGCAAAUGUUCCCAGCCUCCCUGGCCCUCCCAUAGUCAGGUGUUAGGAAGGCUGCCUUUGCCUGGUCAGCCUCUCAGCCUCACCAUCCUGCGAAGAGGGCGGCCUCUCCUGGGAGUUCCCAGCCUUGUGCUGGAGAGCAGGAAAGACCCAGAGGCAGGUAGAGAAGAAGGACUCGUAGAG